GGCUGGGCUCCAGAUCUCCUACUGGUUUUUGUUUUCUUUUGAACACAGGGAUCUCCUGUAAGAUUUUAAAUGAAGAAAGUCUUCUGCUGCUGUAUAAAGAAAAGAAGAUGAAGAAGAAGAAAGGCUCGAGUGCAGUGAUGCUGUCAUAGCUCACUUCAAUCUCAAAUUCUUGGACAAGUGAUCCUCCUACCUCAGCCUCCUGAGUAGUUAGAACUACAGGUUUUGCUGAUUUAUCAAGAAUCUGGGCAUUCAAAAUUGACCUUCUUAGCAACUUGCAAAUGACUUAGUCAAUAUCAUUACUCACUAUACGUCAUAUUGUUUUAUUGGAAAGAAGUAUUCAUGUAUGUUCACUCAGAAAAAUUUUACCUGGAGCCAGGUUGUAUGGUGGCUUUUUAAACAAAAUAUUUGAUUCAGUGAAACCAGUUAUCACAUUGAAGAGCAAAAAUACCAUGAGCAGAAGCAACAAGCUUGGUAGUUGCAUGCACAGACCCUGGAGCCAGAUUCUGCAUGUUUAUUCCAGGACCCUUUACAGUCAUUCAGGGAAAGUACCAUCCUUAAUAUCUUUCAAAAGAUACAUACAUAUACAUGUGUAUGCAUAUGUGUGUGUAUAUAUAUAUGUGUGUGUGUGUAUCAGCUUUAUUGAGAUAUAGUUUAUAUACCAUACAAUUUAAAGUAUAUAAAUCAAUGGUUUUUACUAUAUUCAAAGAGUUGCGCACAGCCACAAUCAUUUUUAGAACAUUUUAAUCACCUCAAAAAGAAAACGUAACUAUUAGCAGUCACUCUCUAUUUCUUCCAACCCCGUUAAUCAUAGGCAGCCAUUACUUGACUUGCUGCCUGCAUGGAUUUGCCUAUUUUGGACACUUCACAUAAAUGUAAUUACAUAUUAUGUGGUCUUUUAUGUCUAGCUUCUUUCACUUGGCAUAAUAUUUACAAGGCUCAUCCAUGUUGUAGCAUGUAUCAGCACUGUAUCCCUUUUUAUUGUCAGAUAAUAUUCUAUUGUAUGUUGAAUACAUUAUAUUUAUUUACCCAUUAAUCAGUUGAUGGACAUAUGAGCUCUAUCCACUUUUGAACUAUUACGAAUAAUGCUGAUAUGAACAUUUGUCUGAGUUUCCACUUCUCUUGCAUGUAUACCUUGGAGUAGAGUUGCUAAGUCAUAUGGUAACUCAGUUUGUCCUUUCAAGGCCAUCUGAAACUUUUUUUCCCAGGAAACUACACUAUUUUCUUCUACCAGCAGUGAAUGUAGGUCUCAAUUUCUCCACAUCCUGGCUAACACUUACUAUUACCAGUCUUUUUGAUGAUAGCCAUCAUAGUGGUUGUGAAGUGGUAUCUCAUUGUGGUUUUCAUUUGCAUAUGUGACAUAGGAUUUGCAAAUAUUUUCUCCCAUUUUGUGGUUGGUAUUCUCACUUUAUUGAUGAUAUGCUUUGACUCUCCCUUAAUGUAAAAUGAGAAAAAUAAUGAAUUUCUAUCUCAUAGGUUUGUUUGGGAGAAUUAAGUGAACACAUUAAAUGCUUAGAAUAGUGUUGGUAUAUAGUAGAUGUGCAAUAAUAUUAAGUAUUAGUAUCAUAACCUCAUUUAAAAUUAUGCUAUUUCACUUAAAAAAAUCUACAAUACUUAACGGCUUCAUUUGGAGAAAAAGAGAUGACUAAGGGAACUCAAAUGCAAAGAGGAAAUGAACUUCAUUUUUUAUGGUUUCUUAUUCAAUGUUUAAUUGUUUUCUCUCCAGGGAUUAUUGUAAUGGGUUUAAUUAAAAUAAAUUAAUAAGAGUUUUUAUACUCUUCUUUCUUUAAAAUAAUUUCAAUUUAGUAGUUGAAAGUCAUUCUAAAAAU